GAACGCGGCGGUCAGCUGCGCCCGGCCUGAAGUUGUCCCAACCGCGGCCGCGUCGGUCGCCCUUUUGACUUGCAGCAGGGCGGGCAGAGCGACUUAGAGGAAAAGUGACUUUUUGUACCCUCCUGCAGGGAGCAGGUUCUCUGUCCUUGUUUAAUUAGACAUUUCUCAGAGAAUCCUGCCUCUGCUCUGAAGCCUUUCUGUUCGCUCCAGUGAAAAUUAGUCAUCCACCGGGCGCGGUGGCUCACGCCUGCAAUCCCAGCACUUUGGGAGGCCGAGGUUCUUGCUCUGUUGCCCAGGCUGGGGUCUAGUGGUACAAUCAUGGCUCACUGCAGCAUUGACCUCCUGAGCUCAAGCCGUCUUCUCACCUCAGCCUCCCAAGUAGCUGGGACUACAGAUGCCUCAGCCAUGAACCCAGCAAUGAGUGAGAAAUUUUUCCUCCCUUACACUCCAAAGGUCUGGGCUUGAUGUUCACCGAUUUUCCCUCAGCUCCGACUGUGGCUCCUCUCAGCUGACUCUGACCCUGCUCUCAGCCGGGCUGCAUCUGCCCAUCUCAGCACAUCAAUAAACAGCAGAGGGAAACUACCACCUUGGAAGGAGCCAGGCAGUUUCUGCUGGGUAGGCCGCAGCCUGGAACAUGGAAGUAGCUUCUUCCAUCCUACACUGGAAACCACCCAGCAUCCCGGGCCCUCCAGAGAAGAGCCAGACUCCCUUCCCUGGGAAGAGACUAUAGUCCUAUCUGUAUCCUCCGUGGUCAUUGCCCCUCAGUCACAGCAAUGAAGAGCAAAUUACCUGUUUUCUGUAUGUUCCUCUGACAACAACUGCCACAGAGUAAAUAUGAAAGGUUCUGGAUGA
rnacentral:lncRNA from 1 species